UCUCAUUUAGACAACAUAAACCCAACCUCUUUUAUGUCCUUACAGUUCUAAAACUGUGCCAGUGCGAAUAAAUUUCUUUAAAACUAU
rnacentral:sRNA from 1 species